UACCGAGGGUGCGAGCGUUAAUCGGAAUUACUGGGCGUAAAGCGUGCGUAGACGGUUGCGUAAGUCGGAUGUGAAAUCCCCGGGCUCAACCUGGGAAUUGCAUUCGAGACUGCGUAGCUGGGGUGCGGAAGAGGGAAGCGGAAUUUCCGGUGUAGCGGUGAAAUGCGUAGAUAUCGGAAGGAACAUCAGUGGCGAAAGCGGCUUCCUGGUCCAGCACCGACGUUCAGGCACGAAAGCGUGGGGAGCAAACAGG
rnacentral:rRNA from 1 species